rnacentral:lncRNA from 1 species
GCCCACUUCCUCUAGGAUCUAGUUUGGUCUUUCUUUUGGAAGGAAAUCUUUCCUUUCUCAUAUGCACCCAAACCAAGUCACCAGGUUUAAAAACAACAUAUUUUCUGCCCUUAUUCCUUCGCAAUGCAACUUCCUUGUUCUUCUUUUCAAUUGCAAGCCUUGUUUGUUCAUGAAUUUUCUUCAUCAUAUCAGCCUUCUUCUUACCAUCA